AGGCUUAACACAUGCAAGUCGAGGGGCAGCAUGGUCUUAGCUUGCUAAGGCCGAUGGCGACCGGCGCACGGGUGAGUAACACGUAUCCAACCUGCCGUCUACUCUUGGACAGCCUUCUGAAAGGAAGAUUAAUACAAGAUGGCAUCAUGAGUCCGCAUGUUCACAUGAUUAAAGGUAUUCCGGUAGACGAUGGGGAUGCGUUCCAUUAGAUAGUAGGCGGGGUAACGGCCCACCUAGUCUUCGAUGGAUAGGGGUUCUGAGAGGAAGGUCCCCCACAUUGGAACUGAGACACGGUCCAAACUCCUACGGGAGGCAGCAGUGAGGAAUAUUGGUCAAUGGGCGAGAGCCUGAACCAGCCAAGUAGCGUGAAGGAUGACUGCCCUAUGGGUUGUAAACUUCUUUUAUAAAGGAAUAAAGUCGGGUAUGCAUACCCGUUUGCAUGUACUUUAUGAAUAAGGAUCGGCUAACUCCGUGCCAGCAGCCGCGGUAAUACGGAGGAUCCGAGCGUUAUCCGGAUUUAUUGGGUUUAAAGGGAGCGUAGAUGGAUGUUUAAGUCAGUUGUGAAAGUUUGCGGCUCAACCGUAAAAUUGCAGUUGAUACUGGAUAUCUUGAGUGCAGUUGAGGCAGGCGGAAUUCGUGGUGUAGCGGUGAAAUGCUUAGAUAUCACGAAGAACUCCGAUUGCGAAGGCAGCCUGCUAAGCUGCAACUGACAUUGAGGCUCGAAAGUGUGGGUAUCAAACAGGAUUAGAUACCCUGGUAGUCCACACGGUAAACGAUGAAUACUCGCUGUUUGCGAUAUACAGCAAGCGGCCAAGCGAAAGCGUUAAGUAUUCCACCUGGGGAGUACGCCGGCAACGGUGAAACUCAAAGGAAUUGACGGGGGCCCGCACAAGCGGAGGAACAUGUGGUUUAAUUCGAUGAUACGCGAGGAACCUUACCCGGGCUUAAAUUGCAGAUGAAUUACGGUGAAAGCCGUAAGCCGCAAGGCAUCUGUGAAGGUGCUGCAUGGUUGUCGUCAGCUCGUGCCGUGAGGUGUCGGCUUAAGUGCCAUAACGAGCGCAACCCUUGUUGUCAGUUACUAACAGGUUCCGCUGAGGACUCUGACAAGACUGCCAUCGUAAGAUGUGAGGAAGGUGGGGAUGACGUCAAAUCAGCACGGCCCUUACGUCCGGGGCUACACACGUGUUACAAUGGGGGGGUACAGAGGGCCGCUACCACGCGAGUGGAUGCCAAUCCCAAAAACCUCUCUCAGUUCGGACUGGAGUCUGCAACCCGACUCCACGAAGCUGGAUUCGCUAGUAAUCGCGCAUCAGCCACGGCGCGGUGAAUACGUUCCCGGGCCUUGUACACACCGCCCGUCAAGCCAUGGGAGCCGGGGGUACCUGAAGUGCGUAACCACGAGGAGCGCCCUAGGGUAAAACUGGUGACUGGGGCUAAG
rnacentral:rRNA from 1 species